rnacentral:rRNA from 1 species
AGAGUUUCUUUCUGGCGCAGAUGGAACGCUUGCUGCAGGCCUAACACAUGCAAGUCGAGCGAGAAAGCACUUCGGUGUGAGUAGAGCGGCGGACGGGGGAGUAACGCGGAAGAAGUUGCCCAUUUGCCCGGUAGUGGGGGACAACAUGUGGAAACGCAUGCUAAUACCGCAUACGCCCUAUGGGGGAAAGCAGGGGAUCUUCGGACCUUGCGCUAUUGGAGAAGCCUGCGUCGGAUUAGCUAGUUGGUGGGGUAAAGGCCCACCAAGGCGACGAUCCGUAGCUGGUCUGAGAGGAUGAUCAGCCACACUGGGACUGAGACACGGCCCAGACUCCUACGGGAGGCAGCAGUGGGGAAUAUUGGACAAUGGGGGCAACCCUGAUCCAGCCAUGCCGCGUGUGUGAAGAAGGCCUUAGGGUUGUAAAGCACUUUCAGUAGGGAGGAAAAGUUAGUCGUUAAUAACGGCUAACCGUGACGUUACCUACAGAAGAAGCACCGGCAAACUCCGUAUUACCGCGGCUGCUGGCACGGAGGGUGCGAGCGUUAAUCGGAAUUACUGGGCGUAAAGCGCGCGUAGGCGGCCUGAUAAGUUGGAUGUGAAAGCCCUGGGCUCAACCUAGGAACUGCAUUCAAAACUGUCAGGCUAGAGUAUGGUAGAGGGUAGUGGAAUUUCCGGUGUAGCGGUGAAAUUCGUGAGAGAGCGGAAGGAACAGCAGGGGCGAAUUCGUCUAUCUGGACCAAUACUGACGCUGAGUGGCUAAAGCGUGGGGAGCAAACAGGAUAAGAUACCCUGGUAGUCCACGCCGUAAACGAUGUCAACUAGCCGUUGGAGGGCUUGUCCCUUUAGUGGCGCAGCUAACGCAUUAAGUUCUCCGCCUGGGGAGUACGGCCGCAAGGUUGAAACUCAAAGGAAUUGACGUGGACCCGCACAAGCGGUGGAGCAUGUGGAUUAAUUCGAUGCAACGCGAAGAACCUUACCUGCCCUUGACAUCCUCGGAACUUGGCAGAGAUGCCUUGGUGCCUUCGGGAACCGAGAGACAGGUGCUGCAUGGCUGUCGUCAGCUCGUGUCGUGAGAUGUUGGGUUAAGUCCCGCAACGAGCGCAACCCUUGCCCUAUGUUGCCAGCGAGUAAUGUCGGGGACUCAUGGGGGACUGCCCGGGUUAACCGGGAGGAAGGCGGGGAUGACGUCAAGUCCGCAUGGCCUUUAUGUCCAGGGCUACACACACGCUACAAUGGCCGGUACAAUGGGUCGCGAAGCCGCGAGGCGGAGCCAAUCCUCCAAAGCCGGUCUCAGUUCGGAUCGUAGGCUGCACCCCGCCUGCGUGACGUCGGAGUUGCUAGUAACCGCAGGACAGCUAUACUGCGGUGAAUACGUUCCCGGGCCUUGUACACACCGCCCGUCACGUCAUGGGAGUUGGCAACGCCUGAAGUCGGUGGGCUAACGGCACUUAGUGUCGGGGCAGCCGCCUAAGGCGGGGUCGGUAACUGGGACGAAGUCGUAACAAGGUAGCCGU